UAAUACGUAGGAGGCGAGCGUUAUCCGGAUUUACUGGGCGUAAAGGGGGCGCAGGCGGCCUUUCAAGUCGGAUGUAAAAUCUCCUGGCUCAACUAGGAGAGACCACCCGAUACUGUUGGGCUAGAGGACAGCAGGGGGAGGUGGAAUUCCCGGUGUAGUGGUGAAAUACGUAGAUAUCGGGAGGAAUACCAGUGGCGAAGGCGGCCUUCUGGGCUGUUACUGACGCUGAGGCCCGAAAGCGUGGGGAGCAAACAGGAUUAGAUACCCUGGUAGUCCACGCCCUAAACGAUGGACACUAGGUAUGGGGAGUAUCGACCCUCUCCGUGCCGAAGCUAACGCGUUAAGUGUCCCGCCUGGGGACUACGGCCGCAAGGCUA
rnacentral:rRNA from 1 species